rnacentral:rRNA from 1 species
AUAGCGUAUAGUACCGUGAGGGAAAGGUGAAAAGAACCCCGGGAGGGGAGUGAAAGAGAACCUGAAACCCUGCACUUACAAGCUGUAGGAGCACAUUAUUUGUGUGACUGCGUACUUUUUGUAGAACGGGCCAACGAGUUACGUUGUGUAGCAAGGUUAAGCACUUAAGGUGUGGAGCCGUAGCGAAAGCGAGUCUUAAAUGGGCGUCCAGUUACCCGACGUAGACCCGAAACCAGGCGACCUAUCCAUGAGCAGGUUGAAGCGAAAGUAAAAUUUCGUGGAGGACCGAACCCACGUACGUUGAAAAGUGCGGGGAUGACUUGUGGAUAGCGGUGAAAUUCCAAUCGAGCCUGGAGAUAGCUGGUUCUCCCCGAAAUAGCUUUAGGGCUAGCCUCAAGCUUAGAGAAACGGAGGUAGAGCACUGAAUGUCCUAGGGGGUAUUGCACUUACCGAAGACUAUCAAACUCCGAAUGCCGUAUUCUUUUGCUUGGGAGUCAGACUAUGGGUGAUAAGAUUCAUAGUCAAGAGGGCAACAGCCCAGAUCGUCAGCUAAGGUCCCUAAAUGUAAGUUAAGUGGUAAAGGAUGUGGAAUUGCACAGACAACCAGGAUGUUGGCUUAGAAGCAGCCACUCAUUUAAAGAGUGCGUAAUAGCUCACUGGUCGAGUGAUUCUGCGCCGAAAAUUUCCGGGGCUAAAACUUACUACCGAAGCUACGGCAUCAUUAUGAUGGGUAGGGGAGCUUUCUAUGUGGCUUGAAGCAUGACCGUAAGGACAUGUGGACUGCAUAGAAGUGAGAAUGUUGGCAUGAGUAGCGAGAUGUGGGUGAGAAUCCCACAGGCCGUAAACCCAAGGUUUCCAGGGGAAGGUUCGUCCGCCCUGGGUUAGUCAGGACCUAAGCCGAGGCCGAAAGGCGUAGGUGAUGGACAACAGGUUGAUAUUCCUGUACCACCAAUAACCGUUUGAGAAAUGGGAUGACACAGUAGGAUAAGCUAACCGCACUGUUGGUUAUGUGCGGGCAAGUAUUGAGGCAGUUCCGAUAGGCAAAUCCGUCGGAAUAAUGCUGGGGUACGAUGCGGAGCGAAAUUUAGUAGCGAAGUAGCUGAUUUCACACUGUCGAGAAAAGUCUCUAUCGAGGUUAAAGGUGCCUGUACCGCAAACCGACACAGGUGGGUGAGGAGAGUAUCCUAAGGCCAGCGAGAGAACUGUUGUUAAGGAACUCGGCAAAAUGACCCCGUAACUUAGGGAGAAGGGGUGCCUUCGAAAGAAGGCCGCAGAGAAUAGGCCCAAGCGACUGUUUACCAAAAACAUAGGUUUCUGCUAAGUCGCAAGACGAUGUAUAGGAGCUGACGCCUGCCCGGUGCUGGAAGGUUAAGGGGAUCUGUUAGAGCAAUCGAAGCAGUGAACUUAAGCCCCAGUAAACGGCGGCCGUAACUAUAACGGUCCUAAGGUAGCGAAAUUCCUUGUCGGGUAAGUUCCGACCCGCACGAAAGGCGUAAUGAUUUGAGCGCUGUCUCGACAAUGCAUCCGGUGAAAUUGAAGUACCAGUGAAGAUGCUGGUUACC